CCCCUUGAAGACUACAAGGUUGAUAGGUCAGAGGUGUAAGUAUGGUAACAUAUUUAGCUGACUGAUACUAAUAGGUCGAGGGCUUGACCAA
rnacentral:rRNA from 1 species